ACUACGAGCAAGCGGAGGUCUCAUCCACCCCGCCCACGAAGCUUAAGCCCAAAAAAUGGCUCCAAAGCCUUCACUCCUCUUCCUUGCCAUCCUCUUUCUUGCUGCUCUCAUGUUCUUCACUCCGGCAGUAGCCAGGGAGCUCGAAGCAGAGAAGGCUAAAGAACAACUUACUGCGAAUCAAAUCGGAGAAACAGAGAGUGUUGGAGAGGAGAAAGUGUGCUACUACAUCAGAGGUCACAGAGUCUGCCACCCACCUGCGGCUCAGGCAGAGACGCAUGGUGUUGAGGAAGAGAAAAAAGUUUGCUACUAUGUACUGGGUCACAGAGUCUGCCACCCACCGGCGGCUCCUUAAAAUGGCAGAGUGCAUCAUGUUGUUUGUAUAUGGGCUCCCCCAUGAGUGCUUGAGGUAAUUGUAAGGAGAAGUUUGGAAACAAAACCAAAUCAUGAGUGUUUGUGUGCUAAUAUGUAAGCAGUCAGCCUGGCAUAUGUGCCUUAUAUCUAGGGUAAAUAAUUGGGGAGAUGCCAUAUGGUUGUUCUCAAAAAAAAAAGAAACAUAGACAAGAAAAAAAAAAGAGAGUUCCUGCAUAAGAUUGUGUUUUCUUCUUCCUUUUUCUUCACUAAGAACUGAGAGAGUAUGUAGUUUCCUUCUUUUAUCAUCUACUUUGAUGGUCA